rnacentral:tRNA from 1 species
AUUAUUUUGGCAGAUUAGUGCCAUGAAUUUAGAAUUCAUAAAUGUAAUUUUAUUAC